UCUCUCUCUACAUAACCUCAAUAUGAUUGUUCCUCAGGAGAGGAUCUCUCUCUGUACAUAACCUCAAUAUGGUUGUUCCUCAGGGGGGAUCUCUCUCUGUACAUAACCUCAAUAUGGUUGUUCCUCAGGGGAGGAUCUCUCUCUGUACAUAACCUCAAUAUGGUUGUUCCUCAGGGGGGAUCUCUCUCUGUACAUAACCUCAAUAUGGUUGUUCCUCAGGGGAGGAUCUCUCUCUGUACAUAACCUCAAUAUGGUUGUUCCUCAGGAGAGGAUCUCUGUCAUUUAUUUGCGUUUUCUCCCCCACACACCCUAAAGCUGUAUGUGUGCUCUUAACAGAACCGGUUGUCAUUCUACACACAGCCUCUGUAGGGCAGCGGGAGGGUCCCGGUGACCCGGUCCACGUGAGGCAUAAUAAAUAUAUAAAUCUACUUCCUGCCGUUGCCAAACACUGGACCGUAUCAGAUAUUUUUUCCCUCCUCUCAUUGGACACUACUUCCAACCAAUACUUUAAGAAUCCCGAGGGGAGUGAACAAGUGCCUAGUUCAACUCACGCUUGGCUAUUUAUCCACACACACACACACACACACACACACACACACACACACACACACACACACACACACACACACACACACACACACACACACACACACACACACACACACACACAAAGAUCGUUUGUCACCUCGAUCCAGAAUAUAUUUUAUUGAGUCAUCGUCGAGCCGUUUGUUUCAGGUUAGUAAUACGGUGACUCUCUGUGUCGGUACAAAAAAUAAAACAUUUGUUUUUUAUCAAAAUAGUUGUUAUAAUACUAUACUAAUAUAAUAAUAAUAAUAAUAAUAAUAAUAAUACUCUAUUUCUCUUUCCCAUCAAACACUCAGUGAGCAUACGGCUCUGGUCGAAAGUAGUGUUCCUGUAUAGGGAAUAGGGCUCUGGUCUAAAGUAGUGUUACUGUAUAGGGAAUAGGGCUCUGGUCUAAAGUAGUGUUACUGUAUAGGGAAUAGGGCUCUGGUCUAAAGUAGUGUUACUGUAUAGGGAAUAGGGCUCUGGUCUAAAGUAGUGUUACUGUAUAGGGAAUAGGGCUCUGGUCUAAAGUAGUGUUACUGUAUAGGGAAUAGGGCUCUGGUCUAAAGUAGUGUUACUGUAUAGGGAAUAGGGCUCUAGUCUAAAGUAGUGUUACUGUAUAGGGAAUAGGGCUCUGGUCUAAAGUAGUGUUACUGUAUAGGGAAUAGGGCUCUGGUCUAAAGUAGUGUUACUGUAUAGAGAAUAGGGCUCUGGUCUAAAGUAGUGUUACUGUAUAGAGAAUAGGGCUCCGGUCUAAAGUAGUGUUACUGUAUAGGGAAUAGGGCUCCGGUCUAAAGUAGUGUUACUGUAUAGGGAAUAGGGCUCUGGUCUAAAGUAGUGUUACUGUAUAGGGAAUAGGGCUCUGGUCUAAAGUAGUGUUACUGUAUAGGGCUCUGGUCUAAAGUAGUGUUACUGUAUAGGGAAUAGGGCUCUGGUCUAAAGUAGUGUUACUGUAUAGGGAAUAGGGCUCUGGUCUAAAGUAGUGUUACUGUAUAGGGAAUAGGGCUCUGGUCUAAAGUAGUGUUACUGUAUAGGGAAUAGGGCUCUGGUCUAAAGUAGUGUUACUGUAUAUGGAAUAGGGCUCUGGUCUAAAGUAGUGUUACUGUAUAGGGAACAGGGCUCCGGUCUAAAGUAGUGUUACUGUAUAGAGAAUAGGGCUCCGGUCUAAAGUAGUGUUACUGUAUAGAGAAUAGGGCUCCGGUCUAAAGUAGUGUUACUGUAUAGGGAAUAGGGCUCCGGUCUAAAGUAGUGUUACUGUAUAGGGAAUAGGGCUCUGGUCUAAAGUAGUGUUACUGUAUAGGGAAUAGGGCUCUGGUCUAAAGUAGUGUUACUGUAUAGGGAAUAGGGCUCUGGUCUAAAGUAGUGUUACUGUAUAGGGAAUAGG